rnacentral:lncRNA from 1 species
AAUGCCUACAUUUUAGUCACAUGGUGAUGAAAGUCAAAUGACAGAUAUAAGUAACUGCCGUCAUGACCAUAUCUUUGAACUGGCAUAUUUGAUUGCUCAGCUAAGAUGAUUGACACCUCAAUUUUAAUGAUUCAUUGAAAUUAAAUUAUUAAAUCUUUUUUUCUUGUUUUGUACAGUGGAAUGGCAUCUUCAAAAGAGAACUUUGAUAACUCAGUUUGUCCUGAGUCUUCAAAUCAACCAAUGAAAAGACGUCAUACUGAGUCAGGAGCUUCCUCUGACAACAACAGCGAACAAGUUAAGUACAAAGGGAACAAGAAAAAACGCAAUUCAGAAGUGGAGAACAAUUUUGUCUCCCAUCCAGAAGAGAGUAUGCACAGUGAAGCAGACUCAGAAAAAUCUAUUUUUCCAUUGGGAACCGUGAUAAAGAAAAACAUUUCAGACUGGACGGCCAUAGACCUAUCACCUUUCAGAAUGAACUUUGAAAAAUGUGCAAAUAUAGAAAAUGUGUUCUUCAAUGGGCUUUCACAUUUUGCAAUGAAAAAGGAAUGGUCUCCUAGAAUUUUGAAAUUAGGCUUCCGUAGCCCUGAAGACCAAGUAAAAUGUGAAUGUUUUCAAUAUGCAAUUGAUAAUAUCAUUAACAUUGACUGUAAUAACAUUGAAGAAAUUGAAUUCAGUGACCUUUCAAAAAUAAGGCAUACAAUUGAGGACGCUCAUUGGAUUGCCGACUAUGUAGG